GGGUAUAUAGCUGAGUGGUAGGGUGCGGUGCCUAGCAUGCACAAGGUCCUGGGUUCAAUCCCCAGUACCUCCA
rnacentral:tRNA from 1 species